GUAGUCAUAUGCUUGUCUCUGAGACUAAGCCAUGCAUGUCUAAGUAUAAACAAUUUUGUACUGUGAAACUGCGGACGGCUCAUUAAAUCAGUUACAAUCUACUUGAUCGUAUAUUCAAUGAAUUAAUCGGGUAACCCUAGUAAUUCUAGAGCUAAUACGUGCAAAAAACUCUGACCUCUUUUUAAGGGGAAGGAGUGUAUUUAUUAGGUAAAAAACCACUCAUCCUUCGGGGUGUCUUUUGAUGAUUCAUAAUAACUUAGCAAAUCGCAGGCCAUGCUUGCGAUGAUACAAACGAGUUUCUGACCUAUCAACUUUAGAUGGCAGAGUAGGGGUUUGCCAUGGUGACAACGGGUAACGGGGAAU
rnacentral:rRNA from 1 species